rnacentral:rRNA from 1 species
UACGUAGGGGGCAAGCGUUGUCCGGAUUUAUUGGGCGUAAAGCGCGUGUAGGCGGCCAAGUAGGUCAGCUGUGAAAACUUGAGGCUCAACCUCAAGCUGUCGGUUGAAACCACUUGGCUAGAGUCCGGAAGAGGAGAGUGGAAUUCCUGGUGUAGCGGUGAAAUGCGCAGAUAUCAGGAAGAACACCCGUGGCGAAAGCGGCUCUCUGGAACGGUACUGACGCUGAGACGCGAAAGCGUGGGGAGCGAACAGG